GAAAGCCCCGCAAGGGGUAAGUAGAGUGGCAGACGGGUGAGUAACGCGUGGGUGACCUACCUUCGAGUGGGGGAUAACGCCCCGAAAGGGACGCUAAUACCGCAUGACAUCCUGCCUUUGAACAGGUGGUGAUCAAAGCCGGAACCGCAAGGUCUGGCGCUUGAUGAGGGGCCCGCGUCCGAUUAGCUAGUUGGUGGGGUAAUGGCUCACCAAGGCGACGAUCGGUAGCCGGCCUAAGAGGGCGGACGGCCACACUGGGACUGAGACACGGCCCAGACUCCUACGGGAGGCAGCAGUGGGGAAUUGUUCGCAAUGGGCGCAAGCCUGACGACGCAACGCCGCGUGGAGGAUGAAGACUUUCGGGUCGUAAACUCCUGUCGAGCGGGACGAAUGAUCUGCGACCUAAUACGUCGUAGAAGUGACGGUACCGCUAGAGGAAGCCCCGGCUAACUCCGUGCCAGCAGCCGCGGUAAUACGGGGGGGGCUAGCGUUGUUCGGAAUUACUGGGCGUAAAGGGCUCGUAGGUGGCCAACUAAGUCAGACGUGAAAUCCCUCGGCUUAACCGGGGAACUGCGUCUGAUACUGGAUGGCUUGAAUCCGGGAGAGGGAUGCGGAAUUCCAGGUGUAGCGGUGAAAUGCGUAGAUAUCUGGAGGAACACCGGUGGCGAAGGCGGCAUCCUGGACCGGUAUUGACACUGA
rnacentral:rRNA from 1 species